AAUAAUGCAAUGAUCAACAAUGAUGUGGAUGUGCUCAAACUACCUGGAGGAAUGGUCGAUGAUCUGAAGCCUGGAACUUCCUGCUUAGUGGCAGGAUGGGGAAAAACAAGUAAAUGAUUUCCAUCUGACACACUUCAAGAGGUGACAAUAGAAGUAAUAGAUCGUAAAACAUGCAACAGCGAGGACUAUUACGAUCACAAACCUGAAGUAACCCAGAACAUGAUCUGUGCUGGUGACAGUGAAGGCAGAGGAGAUUCGUGCCAGGGUGAUUCAGGUGGUCCUUUGCUUUGCAAUGGAAAGUACGUCGGGAUUGUGUCCUUUGGCAAAGGAUGUGCAGAUCCCAAAAAGCCUGGAGUUUACACUUUUGUUUCUAAAUACCUUUGUUGGAUUUGGGAAAACAUUGCCAUGCAGGCUUACAAUAUGACCAAUGAAAAGCUGUAUUGAGUCAUCAGCGUGCUACUUCACUUUGCUUUACUAACUAUGAUGCUCAAUCAAUUGGCUUAGAUAACCAGCAUGCUUCCAUCUAUAUCUGAGUACAUUGUGUAACAUUUUACCACAAAAUG